rnacentral:ncRNA from 1 species
CCAAGGGUCUGGCUGUUCGCCAGUUAAAGCGGUACGCGAGCUGGGUUCAGAACGUCGUGAGACAGUAGAAGUGACCGUUGCUGUCUUUAAAUCUGGCUAUUUGCUGGAAAAUCUGUCCCCUCACAGGGGUGCAGAAUCUCGUGCUACGGAUAUUGCUUGGCUCAUCCUUAUGUGAUAGUCGGGCGUAUGCGUGACAAAGCAUGAGUGCAGACAAUCAGCAGGAAAGGCCGGAUGCUUAUGUCAAGCAUCUGGAAUCCUCAACGACUAUACGCCAGAUCCGCCAUAAGCGGAAAGAUAUAGUCUGAACUGCAUGGCGACAUGCAG